rnacentral:rRNA from 2 species
UACGGAGGGUGCAAGCGUUAUCCGGAUUUACUGGGUUUAAAGGGUGCGUAGGCGGACCAUGUAAGUCAGGGGUGAAAUCCCGGGGCUCAACCCCGGAACUGCCUUUGAUACUACUGGUCUUGAAUGUUGUUGAGGUGGGCGGAACGGGUCAUGUAGCGGUGAAAUGCAUAGAUAUGACCCGGAACACCGAUUGCGAAGGCAGCCCGCUAAGCAACCAUUGACGCUGAGGCACGAAAGCGUGGGGAUCAAACAGG